UUUCGGCUUGUACCCUUUUCAAAUGGAAUUGCUGUAUAUAUAUACAGCAAUUCCAUUUGAAAAGGGUACAAGCGCAAAA
rfam:Culex pipiens quinquefasciatus supercont3.867 genomic scaffold, whole genome shotgun sequence.